AAAACAAGGACACUGAAUACCUUUUUCAUUUUCCUGUUAUUUGCCUGUGUGUAUAUUCCACGUUCUGACGUAUUUUUUAAUGAUGCCAGAAAAAAAAUUCAAUUCGUUUGUUUUUAUUCCACUGUGUGUGUGUGUGUAUUCAAAGAAAAAAACGAUAAAAUUUUUUGCACCAAACCAUCGAAUCGAAUAAUUCAUCAUCAUCAUCAUCAUCAUCAUUAGCAUGUCAAAUAUAAUUUGGAAUUAUUCUUGGAAUUUUCAUUCAUUCAAUCAAUUUGAUCAAUUAAUCGUUUGGCUUCUUCUUCAUAUGCGAACAACACAAAACAAACGAUGUUCCAUUGCAUCUUUGAUUUGAUUUCGUAUCCACAAUGAUCGAUAUUCCGAAUUCAAUUGCCAUUCAUUCAUGAAAUAAUCAAUUAAAUUUUUUUUUAUUGCUUGUGUUUGAUCAAUAUAUAAAUUCAUUUGGACAAUUUUGUUAAUUUAUUGGUUCACCUGGUAAUGAUGAUUUUUUCUUUUCUGAUUGCUUGAUUGAUUAUUUAAAAAAAAGAACCUGAAAAAAAUGGAUGUCACUAAGGCUACGCAAUUGACAUCUACAUCAUCAUCAUCAUCAUCAUCAUCAUCACCACCACCACCAUCAUCAACAUCAUCGAAGAU